rnacentral:rRNA from 1 species
UACAGAGGGUGCAAGCGUUGCUCGGAAUCAUUGGGCGUAAAGGGCAGGUAGGUGGUCUCAUUUGUCUGGGGUGAAAUCCUUGAGCUUAACUCAAGAAGUGCCCUAGAAACGGUGAGACUUGAGUCUUGGAGAGGGUCGUGGAAUUCCCGGUGUAGCGGUGAAAUGCGUAGAGAUCGGGAGGAACACCAGAGGCGAAGGCGGCGACCUGGACAAGUACUGACACUCAACUGCGAAAGCGUGGGGAGCAAACAGG